rnacentral:sRNA from 1 species
AGCAGCCGCGGUAAUUCCAGCUCCAAUAGCGUAUAUUAAAGUUGUUGCAGUUAAAAAGCUCGUAGUUGAAUUUCGGGGUCAGUAGGUCGGUCAUGCCACUGGUAUGCACUGGUCUCACUGAUUCCUCCUUCCUGAUGAACCGUAAUGCCAUUAAUUUGGUGUUGCGGGGAGACUGGACUGUUACUUUGAAAAAUUAGAGUGUUUAAAGCAGGCUCGCGCUUGAAUACAUUAGCAUGGAAUAAUGAAAUAGGACGUUUGAUUCUAUUUUGUUGGUUUCUAGGAUCGACGUAAUGAUUAAUAGGGAUAGUUGGGGGCAUUAGUAUUCAAUUGUCAGAGGUGAAAUUCUUGGAUUUAUUGAAGACUAACUACUGCGAAAGCAUUUGCCAAGGAUGUUUUCAUUAAUCAAGAACGAAAGUUAGGGGAUCGAAGACGAUCAGAUACCGUCGUAGUCUUAACCAUAAACUAUGCCGACUAGGG